UACGAAGGGUGCAAACGUUGCUCGGAAUCAUUGGGCGUAAAGCGCACGUAGGCGGCCUCAUAAGUCGGAUGUGAAAUCCCUCGGCUCAACCGAGGACGUGCAUACGAAACUGCGAGGCUCGAGUAUGGAAGAGGGUCGCGGAAUUCCUGGUGUAGCGGUGAAAUGCGCAGAUAUCAGGAAGAACACCCGUGGCGAAGGCGGUUCUCUGGGACGGUACUGACGCUGAGACGCGAAAGCGUGGGGAGCGAACAGG
rnacentral:rRNA from 1 species